CAACAACAAAGUAAAUAUCGAAAGCACACAGCUCAAUAAAAAAAAAAGAAAAACAAUAUUAAGAACCGCAACCAGCGUUAAAAGAGAUUUGUGUUUGCAAAAGGAAGUAAAAAAAAAUAAGCUCACAAAAAUUUUGCAAAUAUAGGAGAAAUGUGUAAACAAUAUUUAAUCUGUGUAUAUAAACCAAUAAACAAAUGCAGCGGCUUUACCUACUUGCCAUAUUCGCUGAUUUGGUUAUUGCUUUUCGCUAGAAACAUGUUUGUGAGUGCAAAUGUACACAGGCAGUACAUGCUAAGUACACAUACGAUAAACUUGGUAAGCAAUGAGUGCCGGCCACUCGUUUCAAGAAUGUGCUCGGGCCGUCAGUAGUUCACGUGAAUCGAACAAAUUGAAAUUCCUUUGAAAGUUUUAAGCGGUCGCGCUGCUUUCGCGAAUUGUGGGGGCAUACGCGCGGAAUUCACAAGCAUUUUUAUGACACAUUUAUACGUACGUAUUUGCAUAUGUACAUAUUUAUGUGUAUAUAUAUAUGUGUGUGUGUUUAAACGCAUCGAUUAGACAUUCAACGCGCGCGCGAUCACGUAUGCAUUGCCAAUAGUGAAGUAGAGAGGGCUGGACGCCGCGCGAGGGUCGAAAUUAGGAAUAGCAGUAAAUAUAUAUGUAUCGAGCGAUUGGCAACAAGUGGCGCACGCAGCGGGUCACUAGGGGUUGCUGAAGUUUUGCAAGGCGGUGGUUUAGGAGUCUCGACGUGUUUGCUGAGAAAUAGGCAUUUCAUUAAAGGAAUAUUUGUUAUCUAGUUGUAAACUAGCAAAGCAUUUACAUUAACAAAAACAACAAAAAUACGAGAAGAAAGUACAAGUCGUCAGCUUUCGAUUUGUUUGUACACACAAAAGACCUUCAAAGGACCUUCAACAUGUACAAAUGUACGCACAUGCUCAGCCGCCGUCCACCCAACCAUACGAAAAGUAACGGUAUAAAAGUACGCUGAACGUAUGUAUGUGUGUAUAAAGCGGAGGCGACGGCCAAACAUAAAAGUAGCGCAUUGGUAAUAGGAAAUAUCCUCGUAAUGACGGUCGU
rnacentral:lncRNA from 1 species